CUCCCUUCUGCAUCCUCUCUCCUCACAUUAUCCCUGUUCCAACGUGAGCCCACUGCCGAGGUCCGCAGGGACAGCGCAGCCGGGCCGGGCUCUGUGCCAGGCCGCAGGGCCAUCCCUGCCGGGCCUCUCCUGCCCCGGCCCUGCUCCCGCUGUCCCCUCGGGGCUCGCAGCGCUGUUUCUCGCUCGCUUCCCCUGGCUCAGCCCUGGCUGCCGGGCAGCGUUUUGCCCUCCCUUGGCCAGGCUUUCCCCGGGGCUGAGGGGCUCAGCCGUGCCCUGCGCUGGGGCCGGCCCGGGCAGCGCCGGCACAGCCCCGGCGGCAGCGCUUCGAAACCAAUUCAUGACCAAAGUAAGGAAAAAGAGAAAGGCGGGAACAAGGCUAGGUAAGAACUAAGUGAAAUACCAUCCCCCAAACUAGGGAAGAAAAAAGCAGUUGAAAACCAAUGCAGAUCUGAAUACCUGAACAGUCAUUCUUAUUUACUCUUCAGAAGUCAUCUGAAGUGGAUUAAGAGCGAAACAUAUUUUGAAAUACUGAAGACUUACCCCACAACAGCAACAGCAGGAAACAAGUUCCAUAAUCUGAGAACUUCAGACAAUGUCUACAAAAGGAUCAUUUUCCAUUUCUACAAUAAACUAAUCUUUCCAGGACCUGUGUCUCUCCAUGUUCCUAGAAAACCUUGUCAUCAGAAUAAUCACACCAAAUGAAAAAUAGAGUACAGUUGCUUUCAAGUUCCACAAAGCUUUUGCAAAGACAAGCUUACCAAUGUUGUGAAGUACUCACAGUAGAAAAUUAUGAGCACCAGAGGGAAUUAUUUGAGGAAAAUGGGAGAAAAACUGAGAAAUGCCUGGGAGCAUUCAUAAGACCACAAGCAUCAGAAGUCAGAAGUCAUCCAUAGGAAAAAAAAAAAACCCAACAAACAAAACAAAACAACCAAGAUGGAGCCUGCAAAGUGUUAUACCACAGUCACAUAUGAACCAGAACAACUAUUAAGGACAUAUUGUAUUAAUAUAUGUGUGUGUACAUGUAUAAUAUAUAUUAUGAAUAAUAUACAUUUGUAUUAUAAUAUUAAAUAUAAUAUUCAACUACAUUGGAAAAAAAUAGAUUAAAAAACCAGCAAAAUAUGAUGGGCUUUUUAAUCUUAAAAAAAGGUUUGUUCUUAGCAUUAACUAGGAGGCAAUGCAUUAUUAUUUAGUAAAACCAUUAUUUUAUUAAAUUCAAUUAAGAGAUUUAAUUUUAAGCACCUGAACCCAAAAUUAAAGUUUUAAAAUCCUUUAUUCUGAACAAAUAUACUUAUCAGUAGUAAUAAUAAUAACAACAAUAAUAACAACAACAACAGGAAAAAACCUUGCAAUAUCUACUUCCUGUUGUACUCAUAAGUUCAUGCCUUCAACAGUUCCUGAAUUGUACAUGAAGCCUAAAGAAUCAUUUCCACAAAGACAAAUUCAGCAAUCAAACAGGAGGGUGUUUAAGUGUCAAUUCUUUGAAGUGUUACAUCUCUGGUAAACAUCUUUAAAGCCAAAGCCUAAUUAAUGCUUAGUACAAAGGUCCUUAUUCAGCACUCUCCUACUAAAGGUCUAGAAUAAGCAUUUAAUGAAGAACUGACACCCUCCCCAAAAGAAACCUCAAAGCUACCUUGAAGACAGCAGAGAGUGUCUACAGGGGGAAGGUCAGAUGGAAACAGUUCACACAAUUAACACAGAGGAGACAGUAAAACAAAGACUAGACAAGCAAUAGAAGAAAAACGGAGGGAAAAAAAAAAAGAACUUUCUGAAAUCCCUUGAAUUGAAGCUAACACACUGAGAUGCUGCCUGCUUAUUGCUCUUGUCUGCAGCUUCAGAGUAAGUGUCUUGAUUUAUGGCUUUUGUUAUGAAGAUUCAUUCAACAGCAGAGUGGACUUGUGUUAUAGCCAUCUGGGAGCCCUCAUGAAAAUGAGUUGUGUAGCUCAAGAGACUGUCAGAGCAAGUUCAAAUAAAUAAUUAAAUAAGAUGGGAUGGGAAAGUUCUACCAACAUUGCUGGAAACCAUUACAGCACAAUAGUUACUGCUUAGUGUAAGCAGUAUACUAUAAUGAAUUCCCAGGAAACAAACAGCAGCAUAGUGAUGCAAAAUGUGUAUGUUUCACCACCAUGAGGAGAUGCGUCCUUAGUAAUGGGUACUUUCCCUGAAUCUCAGUGUCCUCUAUCUUCCAUCAAAUUUACCCUCAUUUGAAUUCUUCCGAAUGAUCAAGUUCUGCAGAUACACAUUUAGUACAAUACAACUUAUCUUUUAUACAACCCCUGUAAGUUCCAUGGUGACAGAGUGACAAUUAGCUAUGGAGCUUGUAAUAAAUUAAAUUGCUUAUAUGCUUUCUGAUUUCUCUCUCUGCCCUCUGCCCUGUAAAUCUCCUCCUGUCAGAAAAAAAAAAUUAAAGAAUUUUAAUGAAAUUAAUUAUCAAAAUUGGAACACUUUCAAAUCACUAUCAUUGUUUUAUAUCUAUCUAUCUAUCUAUCUAUCUAUCUAUCUAUCUAUCUAAACACCCAGAAAAAUCUUAUGUCCUGGAUUGCCUGUGUUUAUUGUUUAUUGCUAAUAUUAUAUCCUUCAGCACUGCAGAAACAAUGGUAUAUUGACCUGGAGACCUAAGGCAGAAUAAUGCACUAGUGUCAGAAAGGAAAAUUGAAUGUGAUUUUUUGCUACAUUUUUUGAAAAAGAGUUUGAUAGAUUGCUAAGAGAACAUACAGUAUUCCUGAAGACCUCAGGUAGCUGUCAGAAAAAAAAGUGACAUUUCUAGGUAGAUGAAGGAAAGUCGUUCAUCUGUAGUUGAUCUCUGUUCUCUAUUCCCAAGGCUGGUUGAGCUGAGCUGUGGGAAGUUAUACAAUAAACUGAAGUACCAAGCUCUUCUCAGCCUACCUAAUAGAGACACAAUAUAUAAUUGUCUGUCUUCUGCACAAUUGAUGCUAGUCAAUCUGACAGAAGUAGUGACAAAACUGUUUUGGAAUGCAUUUAAAACUGUAUUACAUGCUGCUGUCUUGCCUCUUUGUUGUUUUUAGUUGUAGCUAUGUGUAUAAGACUGAAAACUAAGAAAACUCUAAUUAAGAAAAUGCUCUUGAAGUGGUUAAAUAGUGAUUCCAAUAACUAAAAAUGUGUUAACUAUAGUUCUAUAUUGGCAGACCUUCUGGAAAUGGGAAACUGGACUCCUUUUUUUACUUCAAUAGCAUAAGGAAAUUUCCAUUAAUUGCUACUAUCAAGAAGAACUUCUUUACUGUGAGGGUGACCAAGCACUGGAAUGAAUUAGUGUGGAGUCUGUGUACUCUCCCUCCCUGGAGAUAUUCAAGAACCAUCUGGAGAAAAUCCUGCACAAUAUGCUCUGAGAUGACCCUGCUUGAGCUGGGAGGCUGGACCAGAUGACCCACUGUGCUUCCUUCCAACCUGGCCCAGUCUGUGGUUCUUUAAUCUUGCAUUUUUUUCUAUCAUAAAAUGAAAAUUCUCUUAUAUACAUGAUGGCUUGUGUUGUAUAGGCAUUUUUUUUCUUUCUUUAAGGGGAGGGGAUCUAUAAGCAGGAUGAGUGGAAUGUCUUUUCUGUCUUGAGAAACUGUACAUUACACAACAUGGAAUUUGUAAAACAGGAAAAAUAACUAUGAAAAUGACAGUGUACUUGUUAAAUAACAAUGUUCAGUUAUCAGUGGAAAUCAAUAUUGACUUGAACAAGACAGUGACAUUUUCUUGUGUUUGUCUGACUGUUUGAUACCUUGUUUUUUCUAACAUCUAUGCAUACCAUAACGUUUAUUCCCAAGAAGGCGAAAAACAAAAACAACAAAAAAUUCAACUCUUUCAAUUUUGAUUCAUGUAACAUUCUUUGAACACAUAAUAUUUCAUUAUAUUAAUUAAGGCUGUUAUAUUAAUCUUUAACAAAUUAGUUUUGUGCUAAUACUAAAACACACAAAGUCAUGUUCAUUCUCACUCAUCUUUCCAGAGCAGAAAGACUUAUUUCCAUGCUUUUGUUUCAGAUUGUUCUUUACUGUUUUUCCUAAGCUCCUUUUCUGAGGCAGAGAGCCUGUUCUUCUUUCCAGCCAUGGUAGCUUUCAUAACUUUUGUAUUACUCUGUUUUAUUUUUUUUGUCUAGAUAUAAGUCACCUCAGUUCUUCCUUAAAAAGUUCUGUGUUAUUCUAGAAAAGUUAUUUUUAAUUUAUACCAAAGUCAGACCUUACCAAUGGUCUUAAUAUUAAUCUGAGUUUCAUACGGUGGACCAUUUUCACAAAGUAUUUAAGACUUAAAUAGCAAACUGUUAGAUAUACUAAUCCCACUGAUGGCCACAGACUUUGUAUAUGCAACUUUAUUUCAUGUUUGUAAAAAUUUUAGCAUUCUUGUCCUGACAACUUCACAGGAACAUGUAAACAGGUAGAUAGAGAUUUAAUGUUCAAGCCAUAACACCAGCAAAUCCUCAGAAACAGAAGGGGAAGGAGAAUCUAGGUUAAUCAGUAGGAUCAUGUCUUAGGUUCUGAUUGAGCAAACAAAAAAAGAGUUACUUAACUUUAGGUCUAUUAAAGAAAAGCUCAUUCACAUUAAUUGGCUUGUCUGACUAAAACUCAGCUUAAAAUGAAACAUUUUAAAUAUCACAUUAUUGAUGGUUUAUGGUGCUAGAAAAACAGCUUCUA